rnacentral:rRNA from 1 species
GUCUAUUCUGCCCAUUGAGAAAAAUUCUUUAACGGCCGCGGUAUUCUAACUGUGCAAAGGUAGCAUAAUCAGUAGCUUCUUAAUUGGAGGCUUGUAUGAACGAUUAGAUAAGAAUUAAACUGUCUUUUCUUAAUUGAGUUGAAUUUUAUUUUUAAGUGAAAAAGCUUAAAUAUUUCAGGGGGACGAUAAGACCCUAUAAAUCUUCAUGUAAUUGGUUCUUGAAUGGUAAUAUAUUUUUGAGUGUUAAUUUAUUGUUAAGAAAAAAUUCAUUGUGCUGGGGCGGUAGAAAUAUAGUGAAACUGUUUGUAAAAAAUAACAAAUAUAUUUGUAAAGUUAAAGAUCUUAGUUAUAGAUUUAAAGAAUAAGUUACUUUAGGGAUAACAGCAUGAUUUCUUUUGAGAGUUCAAAUCGAAAAAGAAGUUUGUGACCUCGAUGUUGAAUUAAAAUUUCCU